UACAGAGGGGGCAAGCGUUGUUCGGAAUUACUGGGCGUAAAGGGCGCGUAGGCGGCCUUCUAAGUCGAACGUGAAAUCCCCGGGCUCAACCCGGGAACUGCGUCCGAUACUGGAAGGCUUGAAUCCGGGAGAGGGAUGCGGAAUUCCAGGUGUAGCGAUGAAAUGCGUAGAUAUCAGGAGGAACACCUGUGGUGUAGACAGCUUACUGGACCACGACUGACGCUGAGACACGAAAGCGUGGGUAGCAAACAGG
rnacentral:rRNA from 1 species